AACCUCCGCAAUGUGAGAAAUCGCGACGGGGGGAUCCCAAGUGCCAUUCUUAACGGGAUGGCUUUUCAUUAGUGUAAAGAGCUUUUGGAAUAAGGGCUGGGCAAGACCGGUGCCAGCCGCCGCGGUAACACCGGCAGCUCUAGUGGUAGCAGUUUUUAUUGGGCCUAAAGCGUCCGUAGCCGGUUUAAUAAGUCUCUGGUGAAAUCCUGUAGCUUAACUGUGGGAAUUGCUGGAGAUACUAUUAGACUUGAGACCGGGAGAGGUUAGAGGUACUCCCAGGGUAGAGGUGAAAUUCUGUAAUCCUGGGAGGACCGCCUGUUGCGAAGGCGUCUAACUGGAACGGUUCUGACGGUGAGGGACGAAAGUUAGGGCGCGAACCGGAUUAGAUACCCGGGUAGUCCUAACUGUAAACGAUGCGGACUUGGUGUUGGGGUGGCUUUGAGCUGCUCCAGUGCCGAAGGGAAGCUGUUAAGUCCGCCGCCUGGGAGUACGGUCGCAAGACUGAAACUUAAAGGAAUU
rnacentral:rRNA from 1 species